rnacentral:rRNA from 1 species
AUUGAACGCUGGCGGCAGGCCUAACACGUGCAAGUCGAGCGGAUGAAGGGAGCUUGCUCCUGGAUUCAGCGGCGGACGGGUGAGUGAUGCCUAGGAAUCUGCCUGGUAGUGGGGGAUAACGUCCGGAAACGGGCGCUAAUACCGCAUACGUCCUGAGGGAGAAAGUGGGGGAUCUUCGGACCUCACGCUAUCAGAUGAGCCUAGGUCGGAUUAGCUAGUUGGUGGGGUAAAGGCCUACCAAGGCGACGAUCCGUAACUGGUCUGAGAGGAUGAUCAGUCACACUGGAACUGAGACACGGUCCAGACUCCUACGGGAGGCAGCAGUGGGGAAUAUUGGACAAUGGGCGAAAGCCUGAUCCAGCCAUGCCGCGUGUGUGAAGAAGGUCUUCGGAUUGUAAAGCACUUUAAGUUGGGAGGAAGGGCAGUAAGUUAAUACCUUGCUGUUUUGACGUUACCAACAGAAUAAGCACCGGCUAACUUCGUG